CACGAAGGGUCACUUCCAUUGGUAUUAGUCACAGGAAAAAUUAGGAUCACCAGUUGUAGUUUCUCAGAUCUGAAUUUACUUGGGACAAAACGAAGGCACUUUAUAGUCGCAUUCUUUCAUAAGAGUAAUGGACGAAUAAUGGCGAGUGCUGAACUAUAUAAAUUGUAAAUAGGUUACGCUUACAACACAGAGAACACAGCCAAUACACAGAGGAUAAACGCAGCUUUGUCUCAGAUGCAGCCCCACCAUACAUGCAUGGACUGAUAUUGAUGCUCAUAUUAGAAAAGAAUAUUGCUAUUACUUCAUGUGACUGUCAGACUGUAUAAUUGGUAGAUGUAUAGCUCUAAGACGACAGCCUGUCAGUGGUGUACUCAACUCGUACACAGCAGUAAUAACCAAUAUUUGGACUCGGCAUUCGCCUCUUCUAAAUAUAGACUCGGCAUUCGCCUCUUCUAAAUACAGGUUACUACUGCUGUGUACUCGUCCGAUAGAAUUCAGUAUUGUACUCAACACUGUUAAAUAACCUUAUAUUAUUGUAUGAUGUACAUCCUUUUUAUAUUACGUGGAAAGUUCAAAUAUGUUAUGUGCUUUCUUUAUUACAUCAUAUAGACAUUUGGUUAUUUUAUCUAGAUUUUCUAUCACAUUGUGUGGUAUCUUUAUUUGUUAUAUACCUAUUAUUCUGUUCAAGUCAGUCAGUCGCAUUUGUACCAUGCGACAGUCCAAUAUAUUUCCGGAGGAUGUAAGAGAAUAUUUCAAAUCUCCAUGUUAACCAAACGAUUAUCCAUAUGAAAAUAAACAUUGUCAGUAAGCUCUU
rnacentral:lncRNA from 1 species